GGUAACUUCGCUAGAGUAGCUGAUUUUUUUCAUUGUUUGAAUUUCAAAGAAUAGUAUGUCUUUGUUAUUGCGCUAAUUGUUAGUUUACAUUGACACAAGGCGAAUUUAUUAUAGGUGACAGCAACCGCAUAUAAGUAAAAGUACAUGUAUUUGUUCUUGCGUUUGGUCCAAGCAUCACGUCAAAAUCAGCUGUUCAUUUGCAGUGUGGUUUGCUUGUGAAACGUACGCUGGAAAUAGUCACAAAAUAAAAAGUCGCUACAUUUCCCACAGUUCAUUGAAGAUUUCGUAUGUAGCUUAUGUGCAAGAUGGAUUUAUUAUGUGUGAGUUAAUUUGCCACGAACAUGCAUAAGGUGAAAUUAAAUGUAGAGAGUGAAGUUUGGACGCAGUAGAGUUUAAAAUAGAGAAACAUAACGCAAAAAAACUUCGAAACAAGGGCAAAAUUAAAGUCUCACUGCGUACAGAAAGUAAUGAUAUUGAUGGCUAUCAGAAAUCCACCUUGGCUGCUAAUGACUAUGAUGACUUCAUUCUAAAUACUGUUGAGAUGCGCAUACCACAUUGCAUAAAAAAGUUUGCUUCAUGUUUUUUGUGGAAAAUCGAUCGCGAUUCCGGAUAACAAAUUUGUAACAUGCUUGUGAAUUCAUUUUAUAUAAUUCAACUUUAUUGAUUUUAUAGCCUGUAUUUU